rnacentral:rRNA from 1 species
UACAGAGGGGGCAAGCGUUGUUCGGAAUUACUGGGCGUAAAGGGCUCGUAGGCGGCCAACUAAGUCCGACGUGAAAUCCCAAAGCUUAACUUUGGAACUGCGUCAGAUACUGGAUGGCUUGAAUUCGGGAGAGGGAUGCAGAAUUCCAGGUGUAGCGGUGAAAUGCGUAGAUAUCUGGAGGAAUACCGGUGGCGAAGGCGGCAUCCUGGACCGACAUUGACGCUGAGGAGCGAAAGCUAGGGGAGCAAACGGG